AUACCACAUUUUUCUGUGUCAUGUCCAAAAUAUAAGUUUAUUUAAAAUAAUUUCUAUAUGUAUCUCUGCAAUGUUCAUUCACUUAACAUGAGAUAUAUUUUUCAUUUGAAACAAGUCCAUCUCCACUUACUUUCGGGCUAAAAAUAAACCCCGUCCAUGACCUUCGAUAAACAGGAAGUAGAGUACCCAUUAUUGCCGCUUAUAUCUUUUCCUCAUUAUUCACCAACUAAUCGCUAAAUAAACCAACUAUUUUUAAAUUCAUGACAAAAAAAGACGGAAAAAUGUCUCCAAUGUAAAAUUAUUUAAUUAGAAACGCAAUUUUAAUGUUUUAUUUUAAUUUUUGGUGACCUAUUUUUUUUUCGAUGUUGUUACGACCUCGUGUGUAAAAAUAAACAUGGAGAAACAUGUGCUUUGCAGCUUUAUCGGAACUGACAAUGUCCGCAGCGAUAUUUUUCCAAGUGAACUCAGUAUUAUGACAGAUAACAAGAAGAGAAGUAUAUGCCUCAUCGGCUGCAGAGCUUUUGGAAACACGUUUUAACCAGUUUUUGCGUAUAUUAAUUUUGCUUGUGAACCAGCCUUCAAUUACAGUAUUCCUUCCAACAUGGUGGGCGUAGCUCCGUGGUUAAGCCGAGAGGCUUGAGCCCCAUUGCGUACUUCCACAACGACAUACAUGCCAACUUUCCCGAUUUAGGCGGGAUCCUCCCGAUUUUACCCUUUCAUCCCGCUUUCCCGAUCGGGAAAGAAAAAUUGCCCUAAUUUCCCGAUUUGAAAAAAUCACCAAAAUUUCCGAUUAUAAAAGAUUCCCUACCGCUGAAUUUUGACAAUCGGGAUAACAAUGUUAAACUUGUUUAUUCAAUGCACUCAGAAAAGUUUCAUUGUUUAUUUAACAAUGUUAAUUAGCCACAGGAAAUCACUUCACGCUUGAGCGCACGCAGUUGUCCAGAAGGUCCUUUUCAUGUGAAUUCAGAAGUUUUCGGAAUAAGACCAGUGUUAUAAGACUAGUUGGUGCUUUCCAGAACAUACACACAAGAUGGCAAAGUAUGUUGUGACUGUCAAGAGGAGUUUCUUUGAGGAAGAUGAGAGAUUGCAAAGGCACAUAUAUCAAGCACUUGUCCUCGCUUUGCCUUGCCAAUGACCAAAAAAAUGGUUGUCAAUGACUACAGUAUCUGAAGAUUUUUUAAGGAGUUGAAUGUCAUACAUUCCUCUGCCUAUGGCUGCUAAAUUAAAGCUUGACAGUUUUAUGUGAAGAAUUAAAAAAAAUAUA